CGGCCUCCCGCCCCGCUCCGCCGCCCGCCCGACCCCUCCCCUGGCCCAACUCCCCGGACCCCUCCGUCGGCGGGACAGCGGGUGGCGCUGCCUGAGUCCCCGGGUCCGGGUCUCACCUGGUGAACUUGUCGCACCUGGAGUCUGAGAAGGAUUUGCGGCUGAGUUCAGGAAGCGAGCGGUGUCGAGAGUGGGGGUCCUGCUACCCCUGAGGCUGGAUUCCAGGUUUGUCGCCGAGUCCACGUCGGCGCCCGGGGACUAGGUCGGUGUCCCCGCGGCGGCUUCCCGUGCCAGCGAGCUGCCGGCGGCCCUCUGCAGAACGCCCCUCUUCCCAGGCUCCGCGGUUCCCGGGCUCGGUGACCGCUCCCGCUGGACCGGGCCACCUGACGCUCGGAAGGCGCUUGACUAAAAGUCACAGAAGCGGUGUGGGACGGAAAUGUCCCCGUAGCCCUCCCGGUACCAGGCUCCAGCGAUGGCCGGCCCAGAGGGGGCGCUGAUCGCGGUGCCCGAACGCUGCGCUCCGGCUGGGGAAGAGGCCGAUCUCCGUGCCCCCUCCCCGUUGGCUCAACAGGUGUCCCCGACUCUGGAGUUAUCCCGGGACCUAAAACCCGGGGGACAGCCACCUGGCUGAAGGCCAUGGAUGGGAUGUACGUCCUGGUCCAGACUGGGUGCCAGGUCCUGCUGUCUCCUGCUGUGGUGCUGACAGGGACCUGGACAUUUAGCUGGGUGUGAAGCUGCGGGCCUGCAGUGCAGCUGCGCAGGAGCUGAGGCAGGGGCUGGCAACACAGGGAGACCCCAUCUCAAAAGAAAAAUGGGAGAAG
rnacentral:lncRNA from 1 species